GCUUUUGAGUAUUGUCUUCAUCAAAUUCCAGCUCCUUGUCUGUCCUGGCUCUAUUUGCACUGCACGAGCAAUGUCUCCACCUGCAAGGCCUAGAAGGCAGGCUCAGUAUGUCCAAAGCCAACCUCUGCUGCGCUCCAGCCCGCAGCAACCACCCACCCAUCGGCUCUUCCCCUGGUCCUCCCAGCGUGAUUAAUGGCAACUAGCCUUCCCUCGAGGUGCUCAGGCUGGACACCUUGGAGACAUCCUGGAAGCCUUGGUCUCACCCUCCACCUGCCCUUCCUUCCGCACAUCGUAUGGCGAUGUAAGAAACAGCUUAUCAUCUCUCCUACCUCCAUCAGCCACCAAGGCCCAGGCCACCAGCGUCUCUUACCUGGAUGACUGUAGUGCCUCUCAACUGUCUCCCACUGUCACCCUUGCACGACAGGCCAGACUGCUUCUUGAAAAGCCUGUGUUAAAACAAUAGUUCUGAGGCUCUCGGGCUCAGAAGCUUUCAGGGCUUUCCCAUCUUCCUCCGUGUAAAAGCUCAAGACUUGACAGUAUUGAUGUGGCCCCUCCGCCUUCAUCUUUGACCUCCCCUCCCCAUCCCCCCCCCUUGGUGUGUGUGUGGUGGGGGGUCUUCCUCAUUCGCUGCCCUCUGGCUACAGAGGUCUCCUUUUUUUCCUUCAAGAAGCAAAAUGGCUCCCACCUGAGGGCAUUUGUGCUUGUCAUCUACUCUGCCGUGAGCUCUGUCCCCAGGGAUCCCUCCUCACUUUCCAGUCCUGCUCGCCUGUUGCCGUUCCAGAGGUGUUCUUCCCGACCAACCUCGGUGAAGCUGUGACCCUCCAUGCACUCGCUGCAGAGCUCUGGUACAACACAGAUCACGACCCAGUUACGUUCUGUCUCUUCCGCUGUGGCCUGAAUUCCCAAAAAACAAGUGCUGUCAUCUUUAGAUUCCCCACCUAGCACAGUGCCUUGUUCCCAGGAGGAGUGAAACAGAUAGCUGUCAACUGAAAAAGAAGAUGCUCAACUUCAAAGUUGAGAAUUGGGAAUUCCUUGAUGGCUCAGUGGGUUAGGGAGCUGGCGUUGUCAGAUACCGGUUCGAUCCCUGGCCCAGGAUCUUCUACAUGCUGCAAGCGUAGCCAAAAAAAUAAAUAAAUAAAACAAACUGGGAAAAAAAAGCUCGAGAAUUAUGUUUCAUUUAGGGGACUUACUGAGGACUUAAGUCCAGGAUACAGCUUCUCAGAUAGCUCAGAGAGGCUCUUCCUGAAUAGGUAAGACAGAAGUCAGGAUAAGUAAGAGUUUUCGUAAAAAAAAACAAAAAAAGCCCACGACAUCAAAACCACAAACAGGAGUUUCUGCUUUGGCACGAUGGGAUUGGCGGCAUCUCUGCAGCACCAGGAUGAAAGUUCGAUCCCCAGCCCAGCACGCUGGGUUAACAGGAUCUGGCAUUGCCACAGCUGUGACAGAGCACACCUGUGGCCUGGAUCUGAUCCCUGGCCCUUAUGUUCUGGGGCAGCCAAAAAAGAAGGGGGUGGGGGGAAUAGGUGGUCAGAGUAUCAAAAGAUUACUAUUAAAGAAAAAACCAUACAUCUCAAGUUAAUGAACUUAAUACUCUUGUAAAGAUACUUACGUAAAGAUACAAUAGUCUAGGCUUGUUGAAUUAUUUCUUUGAUAUUCACCUUAACUGUAUCUGGCCAAUACCCAGUUUUCCUCCAUCCUGAAUCCCCUCAGUGCAGACAGGGAUGGCUGCAGUGGCUCAUGGCUUGGUGGACUCAACAUUAUUAAUUUACUGAAAUGGCAGGCAUCAUUCUAUGUCCAUAAUGUUUCCUCUUGGUCCUAAAUUCGACCAUUGUUUGGGAUGCAUUUCAUAACCAAUUUUGUCCCAUGGUGCUAGGAAGGCUCAUUCCUACAUCAGGCAAAGACUCUGAUAUGCCAUUCAAUCUGCCCAUUUUUUGGAUGAGGCUCUAUGGAUCAUCUAAAAUUCUCCGCAUCACCCAUCUUACUAGUCUCUUAGGAUCUAGUAAAUGUUUUCCCUUAUUGCUUCUUCCCAUACCUAGAGUUACACUGUUACCAUUAUUCUAUGUAGAAUUAUGUGUGAUCAGCUGCCUCAAGACUUUCAACCAUCAUUAAUUUUGUCAGCGGCCUGGUUACAUGUUGGGUAAUGUGAGAGUAAUGAUCAUAUAAAACAGAAAAGACACAGGUAAUAGAGUUAGUAACAUUAAGUCAUGGUAGGUCAGAGAGAAACACAAGGUACAAGUACUUUGAAAAUAGUAAGAGAGCAAAUUACAACAGUGAUUCGUAUAACUAGUUUAAAUCUGGUUGCAACAAGCCAUCAAGUCCACAGGGGAGCCAGCUAGAGAAGCCAAAUUCUGGAAGCAUCAGGUAGAGAGAAAAAGACCAAGGUUUCAUCAUCAUCAUUUACAAAGGUAUACUUUAUCAACUUGUUAUAGAUCAUAGUUUGCAUAGAGGAACUAUUUUCUGGAAAAGAUUAAAAGCCAGUAUAUUUCAGGAGUCAGAAAAUUGUCAUACUUAUCAAGUCAUUCAAUUCUUUGUGACUAAUUCCUGUUGAUCUGCUUGAAGUCAUCAGUUUUUAAAUUACUUUUGUUAAUUCCUGCCCAAGUUCAGUUGUAUGAUACAAAAGUUAUCAGCACACAUUUAUGAAAAAGUCCUUUUAUGAAUCUUCUUGAAGAUGUCCAUUUUAUAAAAUAUAUCGAAGGUUUACCUCCAAACAUUCGAUAAUGCUUCAAGUAAUUUAACAUACCAAAUAGGCUUAAUUAGUUUAAUAUUCCCUGGAGAUGCCUUAGGGCUCCUUUGAAGCAUCCCAGAGUUAGCUGGAGGUCAAAAGAACUUCAAUUAGAAUUUGGUAUUUGAGAAGUUUGUCAAAAAUACCAAAAAGAUUUCAAAACACCUGGUCAAAUAAGAUCGUAAGUCAUUAUGAAACAAUACUUAUUCAUUUAACCAAAGUACCAAAAUAUUUCAAAAGCAAAUAUAAGUCACUUAAAAGGUAAAGAAACAUACAUCAAAAGCAAUAUCCCAAGAAAACUCUGUUCUCUCAAAAGAGAGAGAAAUGAAAUCCAGUCCUGCACCAGCCUACCUCAACCCGACUGUGCACAAAACUCCCUUUUCAGGGCUUCAUUUCCAUAAAUCUUUCAGAGCUUUCUGUUUCCCUAUGAAUUUGUCCUUGCCCACCACUCACACUUCCUCAAUUGGUGAGCAGCUCACCAACUGCUGUCGCUGGCCUUUCUUUGCUCACUUUGCUUUCUUCUUUCUUUUUUUUUUUUUCCUUUUACAGCUGCACUUGCAGCAUAUGGAAAUUCCUGAGCUAGGUGUUAACCUAUGCCAUAGCUUACAGCAAUGCCAGAUUCCUUAACUCACUGGGAGAAACCAGGGAUUGAACCCACAUCCUCCAGAGACAACACUAGGUCCUUAACCCAUUGAGUCACAAUGGGAACUCCUCGCUCUGCUUUCUUCUACAUUACAGUCAUCCUUCCUACCUUUACCCCUCUCCAAACCAGACACCUUAGACCUUCAAGCACUCUUGAUGUGACUUGGCUUCAAACUCCUUAUGCACGAUAAUCCAACUUGGCAUGUAUUAAGAAUGCUUCGUCGUAGCCUUGUUAAGUAGGAUGCUCCAAACUUGAUCUAUAUCUAUAGGAGCUGUGGCUUUACUAAGACUGAAUCAGACUGGGAGCAAAGAAGACCAAAGAAUA
rnacentral:lncRNA from 1 species